rnacentral:rRNA from 1 species
GACGAACGCUGGCGGCGUGCCUAAUACAUGCAAGUAGGACGCAGUUGCGAACGGGUGAGUAACGCGUAGGUAACUACCUAUUAGAGGGGGAUAACUAUUGGAAACGAUAGCUAAUACCGCAUACUAGUAGAUGGACCUGCGUUGUAUUAGCUAGUAGGUAGGGUAAUGGCCUACCUAGGCAACGAUACAUAGCCGACCCGGGAGGGUGAUCGGCCACACUGGGAAUGGGAAACCGCCCAGGCUCCCACGGGAGGGAGCAGGAGGGAAUCGUCGGCCAUGGGGGGAACCCUGACCGAGCAAAGCCGCGUGAGUGGAGAAAGUUUUCGGAUCGUAAAGCUCUGUUGUUAAGGAAGCGGUACUUAACCAGAAAGGGACGGCUAACUACGUGCCAGCCGCCGCGGUAAUUC